CAAGGUUUCAGAUUUUGGAUUGUCUAAAAUGCUCCAUACUAGUAACUCCAAGUCCCAUAUCACCACAGUCGUUAAGGGUAGCUACGGAUAUUUAGACCCUGAAUACUACCGUCGCCAACAAUUGACUGAGAAGUCUGAUGUGUACUCAUUUGGGGUGGUUCUUUUCGAAGCAUUAUGUGCUAGACCUGCAGUGGAUCGAAACUUGGGAGAUGAUUAUGAUGAACAAGUAAGCCUAGCAGUCUGGGCUCGAGAAUGCUACUGCAAUGGAAUUCUUAAUCGGAUCAUUGAUCCAUUGUUGAAACGCAAGAUCGCGCCUGAGUGCUUUAAAGUAUAUAGUGAGAUUGCUGUAACUUGUUUGGUUGACGAAAGGAUCAAAAGGCCAUCAAUGAGUGAAGUUGUUUCAAGGCUUGAGCUUGCCCUGCAACUACAGGAGAGUGCGGAGGAUAAUCUCAAGCUUGGGGGUUCUCAUGUGGAAAUAGAUCACUUCGAUCUUGAUGCGCCCUUCGUGGUCUCUUCAGACAUUUUAUCUUUGCUUAAAAACUCCCCCGUCGGUGACAGUUGCAGCAAGAUUUCAAUUGAUGAGAGUUGCAGCAGUAUUGUAGACAUGACAUGAAUCUUAAGGUGUACAAAUUCUUUUCCCUCAAAAAAAAAAAAAAAUAGUGUAUAAAUUCACAUAAGAAUUAGUAAGUAUUUGAGAGAAAAAGAGGGGUAUUGCUUAUAAAAAUAACUUUUGACUUAACCAAUUUCAAUAUGAUAUUUAGAAAGUAUAUAAAAAAA
rnacentral:misc_RNA from 1 species